rnacentral:lncRNA from 1 species
AUUUCAAUUUGACUGUUUGUUAGGAGGCCUAAGAGGCAGAUGUCAGCAGCAGAACAAACUCCAAUCACAGACAUCACUCGGAGUGACGGAAAAGUACCACGGUUGACCGACAGACCGAGCGCUGCUUCUCUCUGUCUGCACCCCUCAGGAGCACAUUGGGAUUGAGAGAUCAUCAAUCUUCACUCUCAUUUAUCUUCCCUCUCAGAGCCCAGCGGACAGGGAGCUUUGUCUUUCUAUGAAAGAAGCAUUCCUUUACUUGUCACUACAAUCACCUUCAUCUUCCAUAUGCUGUAAAUUGGAUUGUACAACAUGAGUAAGUUAGUCAACACCAUUGUAAAGUGUCAACAUGCAUCUCAGUGCAUCUUAGUGUGAAUAGCAUGUUCUGGCUUCAGUUUAGAUCAACAUCUGAGCAUGUUUAAUUAGGAUGAAGCAGAAUACGAACACUUAU